GGGCUGCCGCGGCAGCCGGCGGGGUAGCGAGGUGGAGCAGUGUGGGAAGCCCCAAGCCUGUACCUCUGGGACUGAACGGCGGCGGGUGGGCUGCGGUCAGCCUCUGCAGGCCUGGGCAGGCCUCCUGAGAGUCUAGGGCGUAAGAGUUUUGGGGGGUUCGGAAAGCGGGCUGCGGACCCCCUGCCUGAGGCUUUGGUUUGAGCCCUGGAUCCGGCCUUGUGUUUCCCCGGAAGGAUGGCGUCUCAGUCUUUCCUGAAGUUGGUGGGGUUUGGAUGUUAUUAUUAUUAUUAUCAGCAGUAGUACUGUUAUUGUUGUUAUUAUUAUCGUUUUGAGGAUACACCGUGUAUAAGUAUUGGUGGUCCUGCGCAGGACGCCAUGCAGAAUGCCAUGAGUUAGAAGCUGGAGGACGGAGGGCUUAGAGAUGCUUGAGGGACGUCCUUAACCUAUGUGAAAUGUUGGAGGUUGAUGAGAUAAAGCUUCGAGCCUCUGAACGGGCACUUUACUAGUUUCCCUCUCUUUGUGGAAUUCAGUUGCUGAAUGGAGAACACAGACCAUAGCUGUUGAGGUGAAAAAUAUGGCUUUGAUGUCUUCAUGGAAAACUGCAUUAUUUCAAUCCUGAAUCUGGUUCGGUUCCCUUAUUGACUUAUUACUAUAUUAAAAAUGUUUAUUUAGCAGUGAUUGUAAAAUGAAAGUAAUUAACAUGUACAUGUUUUUUGGGGGGGAGACUAAGGGGAAACAGGUGUUCAACCUAGAAAAACAUUUCUCAUUGGAUUUCCUGUGAAGUCAGUGUGUCUUGGGUUUAACUUUGAAACAAAUUAAAAAAUUUUUAAAUUAAAAAAAAAGUUUACUUAACUAUGCUAUUUGUUCUGGUAAAACCUUGUGGUUUAAUAAGAAUUUUUGCAAAUAUCCAUUAUAUUCUUCUCUUGGUACAUAAAAGUGUUAAUAUUUUAAAAUCUAUAGGACAUUCUAUUUCAAAAUUUAGUUCUAUUAUCUUAGUGCUGUCAGAAAAUGUGCUUUGAAUUGCUAAAAUGAGUUGUAUUGGACAACACCUGUCUCAGCAGAGGCACUUAAAAAUCAUUUUCAUCCUUCCUCUUGUAGUAAUGAUUUUUUUUUUAACCCAUAUGUUUUUAACCUGUAUGUUUAACCCUGCCAAUCCAGUGGCAACUUAAGUGUUUGUGCAGUAUUUCACGUGAGAAAUAAGGUAUUUCACUCAAGAUUGAAGUCUUGCUGUUGGAGAAGAGGAUUUCUCUCCAAUAUUGGAUUAGCAAAAAAAGCAAAAUGUUAAUACAGAAUGCCUCAAAAAAUCAAAGGUAGGGGCUUCCCUGGUGGCGCAGUGGUUGAGAGUCUGCCUGCCGAUGCAGGGGACACGGGUUUGUGCCCCGGUCCGGGAAGAUCCCACAUGCCACAGAGCGACUGGGCCCGUGAGCCAUGGCCGCUGAGCCUGUGCUCUGCAACGGGAGAGGCCACAACAGUGAGAGGCCCGCGUACCGCAAAAAAAAAAAAAAAGUCAAAGGUGGCCUGAAUGAAAAAUUUAAAUACCUCGACUAAUCUUUCAGUUUCCACAUAAUCAUGACAUGGAACAGCUCUUUGCCAAAAAACAUUUAUUCUUAAAAUUUACUUAAGCGUUUCGUAGAAACUUUAGUAAUAGCCAGAAUAAUUCAUGUCAGCUUAGCAAACUCUUAACAGCAAGCAGAAAGAGCUUAUGAAAGGAUCCUGUCUUUACACAGUCAUAGUUAGGGCAGUAUUUUACUUCAUCUCUUCACUAAUAGCUUUGCUUUCACACUGAAGUCUUCAGACUAUUCUGUAUAUACAUUCAACCCCUAUUUUCCUGUAACCAGUUUCCCAAGGAAGGUAUGUGUGGUUCACAAAGGGAUCUUUAAAAGGUGAUAAACUAUAGCAAAUGUUACUUAACAAAUGAGUCUCAGCAUAUGGAAGGAGAAAGUGUUUCUAAGUAUUUCUAUAAAAAGCAUGUCCGUGGUAGGGGUAGUGGGGUGGUGGUGGGAUGAACUGGGAGACUGGGAUUGACAUGUAUACACUGAUGUGUAUAAAAGCGAUAAUUAAUAAGAACCUGCUGUAUUAAAAAAAUAAAUAAAAUAAAAUAAAAUAAAGCAGGUCCAUAUUUCAUACUGUUUGCAAACCGAUAAAACCUAUUCCUAAUAGGCAGAUAAAUGCUUUCCUUUCUCAAAAGGCCUGCUUCCCCUUCACUACCCACUCUACGAGGUCUAACUUGGGUUUUUCCUGAAAGCUUGUAUACCUCUUGUCCUUUAAGGAAGGGGACAGGAAAAGCUUCUGUGCCGAGUACCCUCUUUGAUCCCCUUCUCUAUGCUGACCCUCACAUCCCCUGCCAGUCCUGAUUCUCUCACUCUGACCAGCUCGGUCAACUCUAAGUAGAGGUGUCUACGGAGCAAGCUAAAAGGUUAAGAUCAACGAGUACAUCCUUUUAAAGAAAUCCAUGUGGCUGUUUAAAGUUCAUACCAUUAUUAAUUGAGGAUGAUCAAACAAUGCUAUUUACCGUGCGGAAAAGCAGCCCUCUGGCCUUAUAGCGCAGUCAUUUCGUUGUGAGACAAGGUGCUAAUCCCUUUCAGUUCUCAGGGGAGUACAGUUUAAUCAGAUGCUGUACUUGUGUUGGAUAACCUGUGAUGGGACAAGCUCGGUGACUCCUCACGUAAUUAAACACACAGCGAUAACAAAACACAUAGCCAGAGGUGGCGAGAACGGUGUCAUUCACGCGGUUUUUACGACAGAGUGGGCACACAGUCUUCAUUUGGGGCAACAGGGGAGAAUCAGAAUUGUAGUCUAGAUGUACCGGUGGUGGUGGAGUAGGCAGGGCAGUCAAUGACUUGAUGGUUUCUUCGUUUCCGGAUGAAUACCACCACUCAAGGAACUGCAGGAAGAAUACACCCAUCGAAAGGCCAGUAGAGAGGCAUGAGGCGGCACCUCCCACGGCUUGCUUCAGAGCUGACUUUAUCUUCUCGCCAACGCUGUUUGGAGAACAGAACAAGGAGGCAAAAGGAGAAACUGUUUAUUUAGGUACAAUCACAGAAAAACUAAUACGCGUGUAAUUCUUACACUUUUCAUUAGAAUCGUUGAUUCAGCUUGGGGAUUGAAUAGUUGCUGGACUGGCGUUUUCUCUUGUAAGUGUCUAAUUGAAACAAUUCCUCUUUCUGACCUACCGUAUUUUAGGAGUUCUAGGAGCUAAGCUUUGUUUUUAAUGACCAGGGCUUUGUUGCUUUGUGUUUUGAGAAAGAAAUUAAUGAGCCAUUGAUUAUAUAGACCUUUUAUGGGGGUGGAAGAUAGUAUAUCCAGAAAAAGAAAUAACUCACUUAAAAAACAACUCAGCAGUACUGAGGAAUAUAUUUGAACUUGUCAGAGAACACAGACACUAGGAGCGGGAUAGCACCAUGGUUAAGAGCAGUCUUUAGAAUUGUAUUGAUCUGGCUUGAAUCUCAGCUCUGCCGCCUAUUAGCUGUGUGGCCUUGGCAAGGUACUCAAAUGUUAGAACUUAGUUUCCUCAACUGUUAAAUGGUGCUAAUGCAUUUAUUUCAUUGAGCUGUGAUGAGGAUUGAGAUAAUAUAUGUAAACACCUAGCACAGGGCCUGGUACAUAGCAAGUGUGUGCAAAAAUGUAGCCAGUAUGAUGAGGAAUUUUACCAGGAUGGCAAUCCUUGUUUUAUGGACACAAGAAUUUUUCGAUGAUUUUAUGAAAUACCCCAAAGUGGACUGAAGGGGGUAAAUUUCAUAAAAUUGGGAUAAGAUUUUAGGAUUUAUUAAUCAAAUAUGUUGGGGAAAUGUUAAGCCUUACCUCCCAGCUGGUUGCUGCAUCAUGCUGGCUUCGGCUGAUUUGUGCUCCAGAGCUUGUAUAUCCUGAACUGUAAGUCGACCUAGCCGAACCCCAGCCAGACUCAGCAGGGGUGAGUGAUGCUGAGCCUUUCCUAGGAUGUAUCGAAGCUGCUGUACAAGAAACCAGCCUUCCCAGGCCAUGUUAACAAAUGGGUAGGCUGCCAAAAAGGCUCUGUAAAAUCGUUUCCAGCGGGAAGUAGGGGGAUGGAUGGAAUAUUCAUCCUCUUCUCUCAGGCUAGAAAUCAGCUUCUCCAGCUUCACUUUCAGAUAGGGAAGAAGAACCAGGAAGAUAACUGACUUCCAAAGCUGCUUCUUUGGGAGACCAGCACUGGCCAACCUCUGAAGCUUGUGUGUGUCUCCCAUUACGAUCCUCUUUAAGCCAUAAAAGUUUUCAGAAAACGAGGCGCUGGUUUUAGACAGAUAAUGUUGCUGGAGCAGAAGAUCUAGCAGGGUGAAGAUUUCAUCAAACCACUUCCACAAGAAGCCGUAGCGGGCAGGAUUUGAUUCUGC